rnacentral:rRNA from 1 species
AGAUGGAUCCGCGCCGUAUUAGCUAGUUGGUAAGGUAACGGCUUACCAAGGCAACGAUACGUAGCCGACCUGAGAGGGUGAUCGGCCACACUGGAACUGAGACACGGUCCAGACUCCUACGGGAGGCAGCAGUAGAGGAAUCUUCCGCAAUGGGCGAAAGCCUGACGGAGCAACGCCGCGUGAGUGAUGAAGGUCUUCGGAUCGGGGAACUCUGCUAUCAGGGAAUAACAAACGUGUAAGUAACUGUGCACGGCUUGACGGUACGUGAUCACAGAGCCUCGGCUAACUACGUGCCAACAC